UCCAGACAGAUGAAAGCACAUCCUCGCCCCAAACCUACCACAUCUGCAAAAGCUCGGCAGAAACCACCUAAUUAUCAAGCCACAUCAGUAGCUUUUGUGAAGACCACUAAUGCUUAUCAAAUCUAGUGUGAGGACUGAUUCUGGAAGGUACCAAACAACUUUUGAGAGGUGCUGAGAGCCCUUGAUUCUCAUUGUAGACCCUCUCGUGAAAAUGAGCUUGACUCCAACAACACCCCCUGGCAAAAGUACACUUCAAGGUUUUGAGGAAACAGUAAAUUGGGGCACAGUUACAAUAGCUGUCAAGCUUGACCCCAGAGGACAGCCAGCAAAGGACACUCUCCAGAAUCCAUCAUCAUCAUUGCCCAAAUGAAUCAAGAACUGCAAGGGACACAGCAGGGGAUGGCAUGGCCCUGAAGGAAGAUGCAGGAUGGGCUCAGUGCCGGGACACCAUGGGUGAUGGCCCAGUCCUUAAAGAGAAGAAGGAAACCUUUAAGAAGCGGCGAGAAAAUAGGAGGAAAGAAAGCAAGUCACUGUAGGUGGAGAAGAAGGAAAGGGACUUCGGAUAGAGUGAGCUCCCCAUAGUUAAGGCUCGGGUCGUGUGGGGCUAUUGAGCCUUUUAAUACCUUGAGCAGUCUGACCACCCUGUAGCUAGGGUUCAGCUCUGUGCUCUCAUGGCCUCUUGGAAUUAUGCUCCUUUAACUGGCUAGUGUGAAUGAUUACCCUGUAAUUAGAGUGCAAGUCAUGCUCCUGUCGCUUAUGUGGGGAAUAUUGAGCUCUUUGGACCCCUGAGCAGUAAUUCAGGGUAAGGUCUCUGCCCUCUUGCCCUUUUGGCAUUAUGCCUUGUUGGCAGUCUAGUCAGCAUGACAACCCUGUAGCCAGGGUGCAUUUCACAAGCCUCUUUCUCUUUUAUGGGACAGAUUGAGGUCUUUGGUACCUUGAGGUAUGUGAACUCCCUGAAAUUCAGGAGAAGGUCUGCCUUUGGUCUCUUGGCCUUAGGCCCCUGUAGCCGGCUAAUCUGAACGGAGCGCCCGUAAUAGAGAUGCUGGUCAAAUCCCUUUUGUUUAUAAGGGAUUAGGGAUAUUUUAGUGCCAUUGGUAAUUUUGAGCAGGGCCUGUAAUUUUGAGCAGGGCCGACUCCAGCGUUUUUGCCGCCCCAAAUGGCGCAAAAA